AUCAACUUUCGAUGGUAGGAUAGAGGCCUACCAUGGUGGUAACGGGUAACGGGGUGUUAGGGCACGACACCGGAGAGGGAGCCUGAGAAACGGCUACCACAUCCAAGGAUGGCAGCAGGCGCGCAAAUUACCCAAUCCCGACACGGGGAGGUAGUGACAAUAAAUAACAAUACGGGGUUCUUUCGGAUUUCGUAAUUGGAAUGAGUACAAUUUAAAUCUCUUAACGAGGAACAAUUGGAGGGCAAGUCUGGUGCCAGCAGCCGCGGUAAUUCCAGCUCCAAUAGCGUAUAUUAAAGUUGUUGCAGUUAAAAAGCUCGUAGUUGAAUUUCGGGGUUAGUAGGUUGGUCAUGCCUCUGGUAUGUACUGAUCUCACUGAUUCCUCCCUCUUGACGAACUGUAAUGUCAUUAAUUUGGUGUUCCAGGAAAUCAGGACUGUUACUUUGAAAAAAUUAGAGUGUUUAAAGCAGGCUUAGGCUUGAAUACAUUAGCAUGGAAUAAUGAAAUAGGACGUUUGAACCUAUUUUGUUGGUUUCUAGGAUCGACGUAAUGAUUAAUAGGGAUAGUUGGGGGCAUUAGUAUUCAAUUGUCAGAGGUGAAAUUCUUGGAUUUAUUGAAGACUAACUACUGCGAAAGCAUUUGCCAAGGAUGUUUUCAUUAAUCAAGAACGAAAGUUAGGGGAUCGAAGACGAUCAGAUACCGUCGUAGUCUUAACCAUAAACUAUGCCGACUAGGGAUCGGAUGAUGUUAAUUUUUUAAUGACUCAUUCGGCGCCUUACGGGAAACCAAAGUGUUUGGGUUC
rnacentral:rRNA from 1 species